rnacentral:rRNA from 1 species
GAGCGAACGCUGGCGGCAGGCUUAACCCAUGCAAGUCGAGCGGGCACUUUCGGGUGUCAGCGGCGGACGGGUGAGUAACGCGUGGGAACGUGCCCUCUGGUUCGGAAUAACUCAGGGAAACUUGAGCUAAUACCGGAUACGCCCUUUUGGGGAAAGGCUUGCUGCCGGAGGAUCGGCCCGCGUCUGAUUAGCUAGUUGGUGAGGUAACGGCUCACCAAGGCGACGAUCAGUAGCUGGUCUGAGAGGAUGAUCAGCCACACUGGGACUGAGACACGGCCCAGACUCCUACGGGAGGCAGCAGUGGGGAAUAUUGGACAAUGGGCGCAAGCCUGAUCCAGCCAUGCCGCGUGAGUGAUGAAGGCCUUAGGGUUGUAAAGCUCUUUUAUCCGGGACGAUAAUGACGGUACCGGAGGAAUAAGCCCCGGCUAACUUCGUG